AGCUCCAAUAGCGUAUAUUAAAGUUGCUGCAGUUAAAAAGCUCGUAGUUGCAUUUCCGAGGCAAGGGAUUAGUCCGACCUUUGGUGGGUAUUUAAUCCUCUUGCCUCGUCCUUGAGUGGUGCUUCUUGGUAUUAAGUUAUCGAGGAGAUAGCCGCUCAUCGUUUACUGUGAGAAAAUUAGAGUGUUCAAAGCAGGCUUAUGCCGUUGAAUAUAUUAGCAUGGAAUAAUAAGAUAGGACCUCGGUACUAUUUUGGUGGGUUGAGAACCAAGGUAAUGAUGAAUAGGGACAGUUGGGGGUAUUCGUAUUCAGUUGUCAGAGGUGAAAUUCUUAGAUUUACGGAAGACGAACUACUGCGAAAGCAUUUACCAAGGAUGUUUUCA
rnacentral:rRNA from 1 species